UGCGCGCGGUAACUUGACCGUGCAAAGGUAGCAUGUUUAUUAGUCUUUUAAUUGAAGGCUUGAAUGAACGAUUGGAUGAAAAAUAUACUUUAUUAAUAAAAAUAAUUUAAUUUAUUAUUUAAGUAAAAAACCUUAGAUAUUUAAGUGGGACGAGAAGACCCUAUAGAGUUUAAUUUUUUUUUUUAUUAUUAAAUUCAAGAAUAUAUAUUUAUAUAAUAAAAAAAAAUUUUUGAUUGGGGUGAUAUUAAAAAUUAUUUAACUUUUAAAUUAAAACUCAUUAAUAAAUGAUUAAUUGAUCCAAUUUUAUUGAUUAAUAGAUAAAAUUACCUUAGGGAUAACAGCGUAAUUAAUUUGAAGAGUUCAAAUCGAUAAAUUAGUUUGCGACCUCGAUGUUGGAUUAAGAAUAGGUUUUGAAGCAGCAUUUAAAAUUUUAGGUCUGUUCGACCUUUAAAUUCUUACG
rnacentral:rRNA from 1 species